rnacentral:rRNA from 1 species
UACAGAGGGUGCAAACGUUGUUCGGAAUUACUGGGCGUAAAGCGCGUGUAGGCUGCCCAGUAAGUCGGAUGUGAAAGCCCUGGGCUUAACCUAGGAAGUGCAUUCGAAACUGCUGGGCUUGAGUUCUGGAGAGGAAGGCGGAAUUCUCGGUGUAGAGGUGAAAUUCGUAGAUAUCGAGAGGAACACCAGUGGCGAAGGCGGCCUUCUGGACAGUGACUGACGCUGAGGCGCGAAAGCGUGGGGAGCAAACAGG